UACGGAGGGUGCGAGCGUUGUCCGGAUUUAUUGGGUCUAAAGGGUGCGUAGGUGGUUUGAUAAGUCCGGGGUGAAAGCCCACAGCUCAACUGUGGAACUGCCCUGGAUACUGUCAGACUUGAGGGUAGACGAGGUUGGCGGAAUAGAAGGUGUAGCGGUGAAAUGCAUAGAUACCUUCUAGAACCCCGAUUGCGUAGGCAGCUGACUAGGCUACACCUGACACUGAGGCACGAAAGCGUGGGGAGCGAACAGG
rnacentral:rRNA from 1 species